CCUACGGGAGGCAGCAGUGAGGAAUAUUGGUCAGUGGCCGGAAGGCUGAACCAGCCAUGCCGCGUGAAGGUCAGUGCCCUAUGGGCGUUAAACUUCUUUUGUGCGGGAGCAAUAAUGGUCACGUGUGGCCAGACGAGAGUACCGUACGCAUAAGCAUCGGCUAACUCCGUGCCAGCAGCCGCGGUAAUACGGGGGAUGCAAGCGUUAUCCGGAUUUAUUGGGGUUAAAGGGUGCGUAGGCUGUGAGGUAAGUCAGCGGUGAAAUGCCCCCGCUCAACGGGGUGAAGUGCCAUUGAUACUGCCUUGCUGGAAUGCGGAUGACGUGGGAGGAAUGUGUGGUGUAGCGGUGAAAUGCAUAGAUAUCACACAGAACACCGAUUGCGAAGGCAUCUCACGAAUCCGCGAUUGACGCUGAUGCACGAAAGCGUGGGUAUCAAACAGGAUUAGAUACCCUUGUAGUC
rnacentral:rRNA from 1 species